rnacentral:misc_RNA from 1 species
UGGUUCUGGCAUCGAUGAAGAACGCAGCGAAAUGCGAUAAGUAGUGUGAAUUGCAGAAUUCAGUGAAUCAUCGAAUCUUUGAACGCACAUUGCGCCCUCCGGUAGUCCGUUGGGCAUGCCUGUUCGAGCGUUAUUUAAACCUUCAAGCGCAGCUUGGUGUUGGGUGCUUGUCCUCCCCCGCGGCGGACUCACCUCAAAUGCAUUGGCGGCCGGUAUGUUGGCUUCGAGCGCAGUACAACGCGCCCGGUGCCCCGACGUGCUGGUCCUCCAGGAGCCUCUUCAAUCUUGACCUCGGAUCAGGUAGGGAUACCCGCUGA